rnacentral:rRNA from 1 species
AUUGAACGCUGGCGGCGUGCCUAACACAUGCAAGUCGAGCGGUAACAGGUGUAGCAAUACAUGCUGACGAGCGGCGAACGGGUGAGUAAUGCUUCGGAAUCUACCCAAUGGUGGGGAAUAACCAGCCGAAAGGUUGGCUAAUACCGCAUACGUCCCACGGGAGAAAGCAGGGGAUCGCAAGACCUUGCGCCAAUGGAUGAGCCGAAGUCGGAUUAGCUAGUUGGAGGGUAACGGCCUACCAAGGCGACGAUCCGUAGCUGGUCUGAGAGGACGACCAGCCACACUGGGACUGAGACACGGCCCAGACUCCUACGGGAGGCAGCAGUGGGGAAUAUUGGACAAUGGGGGAAACCCUGAUCCAGCGACGCCGCGUGUGUGAAGAAGGCCUGCGGGGUUGUAAA